CGAAAGCCUGACGGAGCAAUACCGCGUGAGGGAGGAAGGCCUUUGGGUUGUAAACCUCAAAAAUUAGGGAAGAAAAAAAUGACGGUACCUAAAAUAAGCAUCGGCUAACUCCGUGCCAGCAGCCGCGGUAAUACGGAGGAUGCAAGCGUUAUCCGGAAUCAUUGGGCGUAAAGCGUCCGCAGGUGGCGAAUCAAGUCUGCUGUUAAAGACAGAAGCUCAACUUCUGAACAGCGGUGGAAACUGGUUUGCUAGAGUAUGGUAGGGGUUGAGGGAAUUCCCAGUGUAGCGGUGAAAUGCGUAGAUAUUGGGAAGAACACCAGUGGCGAAGGCGCUCAACUGGGCCAUAACUGACACUCAGGGACGAAAGCUAGGGUAGCG
rnacentral:rRNA from 1 species